GAUGAACGCUGGCGGCGUGCUUAACACAUGCAAGUCGAACGAUGAAGCCCAGCUUGCUGGGUGGAUUAGUGGCGAACGGGUGAGUAACACGUGAGUAACCUGCCCUUAACUCUGGGAUAAGCCUGGGAAACUGGGUCUAAUACCGGAUAGGAGCGCCUACCGCAUGGUGGGUGUUGGAAAGAUUUAUCGGUUUUGGAUGGACUCGCGGCCUAUCAGCUUGUUGGUGAGGUAAUGGCUCACCAAGGCGACGACGGGUAGCCGGCCUGAGAGGGUGACCGGCCACACUGGGACUGAGACACGGCCCAGACUCCUACGGGAGACAGCAGUGGGGAAUAUUGCACAAUGGGCGAAAGCCUGAUGCAGCGACGCCGCGUGAGGGAUGACGGCCUUCGGGUUGUAAACCUCUUUCAGUAGGGAAGAAGCGAAAGUGACGGUACCUGCAGAAGAAGCACCGGCUAACUACGUG
rnacentral:rRNA from 1 species